rnacentral:rRNA from 1 species
GACGAACGCUGGCGGCGUGCCUAAUACAUGCAAGUCGAACGCAGUGGGGACGGGUGAGUAACACGUGGGUCACCUCACCAUCAGAGGGGAUAACACUUGGAAACCGGUGCUAAACCGAUAUUGAUGGAUGGACCCGCGGUGCAUGAGCUAGGUGGUGAGGUAACGGCGCACCAAGGCAACGAUGCCUAGCGGACCUGAGAGGUGGAUCGGCCACACUGGGACUGAGAAACGGCCCAGACUCCUACGGGAGGCAGCAGUAGGGAAUCUUCGGCAAUGGACGAAAGGCUGACCGAGCAACGCCGCGUGAGUGAAGAAGGUUGUCGGAUCGUAAAACUCUGUUGUUAGAGAAGCGGUAUCUAACCAGAAAGCCACGGCUAACUACGUGCCAGCAGCCGCGGUAAUAC